CUCCUUCCAUAGCGCGAUCCCCUUUCUCCCUCCUUCCCCACGCCGCCGCCGCCGCCGCCGCCGCCGCCUCCUCCCCGCCGACCACGCCGCCCCUCCUCAUCUACCACACCACCUUCCCCUGCUCCCCAAGACCCGCGCCGCCCUACCUCCGCGAAACCCUAGAGGAGCGGCUGCUGGUCCGGCGUCGAAGGCCACCGCCCGGUGCUGACCCUCGCCGGACGCCGCACCAGCCGGGCAAUGAGAGGCCCUCGCCCGGCUGUAGAUGCACCGGUCGCGGCGGGCCAUGGCGACAAAGCAACACCACCAGCACAUCGGCAGAGGAUGAAGACGGCGCUGGAUCUGCUUCACGGCAUCCGCGUCGAGCUCACCAGCCACGAAAAUGAAAAGGAGGUCAAGGCCGGCCUUCCCCAGCUCCUUCUCGUGUGCGCGCGCCGACAGAGCCAAGGACAGGCCGCGCGCCGGACCUGCUGCAGCUGGGCGUUUCUGGACAGCGACGAGGACGCACAAGGUUACGGCGUCCUGGACAUGGCCGACCAGGAGGAGGAGCUCGCCCAUAUCGAUCCAUACACCACGACGCCCACAAACCUAAAGCUGAGGGAUUGAAGCUGUUCCUCAUCCUGUCCGUCUCCAAAGUUGCCGCCAUGGAGGGCCUCUUCAAGUUCCUCGUUAAGUUAUUCCUCCUUUUCCUCCUAUGCUACUUCUUCCCCAAAACAAAACUGCUCUGCUCCAACAACGUGUUGCUGCACUACUAAUGACAUCUGCAAUUUUCUGUUCUGGUAUGUAUCGCUCAUGACAUGGUGAAGAGGAACUGGCCUGCUGGAAGGAGGAUGUGCCCCAGUUCGAUCUGAAUUCAGAAACAAUUCAUCGCCGAGCAGCCCAAGGCAGAGGCAAACCAUUGCCCCCUUGCGUUGUCCGUCUCGGCUUCCUUGGAGAAGGCUUCGGUUCAAAAUCUGCAGCCUUGUGCAUGAUCUGUGACAUGCCAAGGAAAGCUAGCUGGAGGGGAUGCGGCUCACCACGACGGCGAUCAUGGCGCCGCAGGGCGAGCCAUCCUCCUACGAUUCGACAGUCCCCACCCUAUCCUAGGCAUCGGCCUCGCUGCUUCGCCUCCUCUUCCUCUCCAAAAAUGGGAGCUUCGCUACCCAGCCCGCGCCGCUGACGGGAGCAAGGAUGGGGUUCUUCUCUCUUUGUAACAAUGAAAAGGCCACAGUCCUAGGCAUCGGCCUCGCUGCUCCACCUCCUCUUCCUCUCCAAAAAAAAGUAAGCUUCGCUACCCAGUCCGCGCCGCUAACAGGAGCAAGGAUGGGGUUCUUCUCUCUUUGUAACAAUGAAAAUAUCACACAUGGCUACAGAAUCAAAUCUGUAUAGGCUGAGGUUAAAUGAGCCUUAAAUCCGUGCUGUUUACUUUGGCUUGAGAAUCAAAAUAGGUACCUGUUCUGUUUCUCGAAUUGUGGUCUGGAUGUGCAAGUAAAGUAACCAGGUCAUCCUAAAAAAAAUCAGUUGUUGAAGGAUAACCACGAAGAGCACAUCUAGGUUAGCAGAGAAGCUGGCAGACCUGUAGCAGCAACAGCCUGGUGCACCAUUCUCACAUGUCGGUAGCUAGAAGAAGACCCAUUUUUAUGCAUGCCGCUGCCUUGGUCAUGCCUGCGCCACCUGAGAUCUCAGAUUUGAGAGAAUUUAUGUAAUCCAUAUUUUGUUGUAAUAGUUAACCAUCAGUGUUUGUCCUAGAAUUGGAACUUAUUUGAUGCUGUGCGUGGAUCUGCUGGCUUUACCUUUGA